UACGUAGGGGGCAAGCGUUGUCCGGAAUCAUUGGGCGUAAAGCGCAUGUAGGCGGUCUGUUAAGUCGCGUGUGAAAUCCCCAGGCUCAACCUGGGAAGUGCGCGCGAAACUGGCGGACUUGAGUGCCGGAGAGGGUGGCGGAAUUCCCGGUGUAGAGGUGAAAUUCGUAGAUAUCGGGAGGAACACCAGAGGCGAAGGCGGCCACCUGGACGAACACUGACGCUGAGACGCGAAAGCGUGGGGAGCAAACAGG
rnacentral:rRNA from 1 species